rnacentral:rRNA from 1 species
GACGGAGGGGGCUAGCGUUGUUCGGAAUUACUGGGCGUAAAGCGUGCGUAGGCGGUCAUUCAAGUUGGGUGUGAAAGCCCGGGGCUCAACCCCGGAAAUGCGCCCAAGACUGUUUGGCUAGAGACCCGGAGAGGUGAGUGGAACUCCCAGUGUAGAGGUGAAAUUCGUAGAUAUUGGGAAGAACACCAGUGGCGAAGGCGGCUCACUGGACGGGUACUGACGCUGAGGCACGAAAGCGUGGGGAGCAAAC